rnacentral:snoRNA from 1 species
GUAACUGUUCCUGGUAGUGGUUGCAUUUGUUAGUUAUACAGUGCAACCGCAGACGGUCACAUACAUCAAAACAGUUGGUUCCUGCCGACAGAGUCUGUAUAGUUAUCAGAUUUUCUGUGCGAUGGCUCCAUACAUA